rnacentral:rRNA from 1 species
UACAGAGGUCCCAAGCGUUGUUCGGAAUCACUGGGCGUAAAGGGUGCGUAGGCGGGUUUUUAAGUCAGGGGUGAAAUCCUGGAGCUCAACUCCAGAACUGCCUUUGAUACUGAAGAUCUUGAGUCCGGGAGAGGUGAGUGGAACUGCGAGUGUAGAGGUGAAAUUCGUAGAUAUUCGCAAGAACACCAGUGGCGAAGGCGGCUCACUGGCCCGAUACUGACGCUGAGGUGCGAAAGCGUGGGGAGCAAACAGG